rnacentral:snRNA from 1 species
GCGGCUGGAAGAGCACCGCA